UCCAGACUUUUUGUUCAUCAGAUCUUUACGGUUUAUUCUUGGCCUUUUAUUCUUCUCAAAAGUUACAAAUUAAUGGAUCAUGUUAACCUUUACAGCUUCCUUACUUUAUUGCAUCCAUUUUGGUUUAAUGCUUCUAUUAUAACAGUUCCAAUCUUCAAACCUUCAAUCAUCCUUUUCAUCUGAUUCACCUCGAUAUCUUGAAGAACCCAUCACCCUGAUCAUCAUUGAAAUAUCUUUCAGCUUUUCGGUGUUACGAGCAACGAGGAGAAUCGUGAGUACUUUCUUUGGCGACUGAAAUUAGAAGAUCCAUGUUGAUAGAGUCAUGAUGCAAACGAACGAUGGGUCUGAGAUAUUCAUAACAACUAGGAUAAUCUCUCCAAGAAGGAAAUCAAAACUCAAACGUUGGAGAUGAUGAGGUUGCUUGACAAUGAUGAUCAAAGUCAAUUGAUUAGAUUAAAGGACAAACAUCUUUCUCUCUUCAAAUCAAAAUAAGAACAUUUUCAGAACAAACUUUGGGAUGAAUUAGAUGACUUCGAAGCUUGGUUUCAUAUCUUCACUCUAUAUCAAAAUAAGGAAGGCUGAAAGCCUGCAACGCUAGAGAUGCAGAUGAAUGUAAAUCAGUGGAAGUUUAAAUCAGCAAACUGAAACAUGCUUUUCCAAUGCUUGGUUCUGGAAAGAGUUAUGAGGUACCUUAAUCACUAGGCUUAGUGCUGGUGCAAAUUCUGGCCCUGCUACUACUGCAUAAAAAAUAAGCAAGCUGCACAAAUGUACUUCAUUAUUCUUGCCUACUCUUUUACUUUGCUGAUUAUCGAUUGAAAUGUCCACAAUUUCUUAAGCAUAUGGGCUAUAUCACUAUUCUUUCUCCUCUUUUAUCUGUGAACUGGCUAUGGAAGUUUGAGGUUAUGUUUCCCCUUUUUCUGGGUUAUAACAGAAACUUAAAAAGCUCCAAGAACAGAAACUCAUUGAGAAGCUAUUUCAGCCAGAGCAGAUGAAAAUUCGGUCACCAUAAGGUGGAACAAAUGGAAGAUUGGUAGUCACGGUUAAAAAUGUUGAUUUUGGUUUCAGGGAUAAGGUGAGUUACUACUAACUUUUGAAUCAAAGUCAUGACAAACGAUAUUUCUUAUGUUUGACCCUGUCAAGAAGUGUAUUAUUGACUGUAAACCAGAUGUGUUCUGAAUAAUUUUUCGGAUUAGUUUUACAUGAUUAGUGCGUAUGGGAGGACCAAGAAAAUGAGUGAUAUGGCUGCUUAUGCUUUCCUUCAGUUCAGAUGAAGAAAGUAGGAUCAGAACUUACUUUACUUUUAUACACAACUCUUAUCCGUGCUUACUAUGUUAGCGUGUUGAAGCUAAGAUGAAAGUGAUGUUUACAUCAUAUUUUUCUACGAUGAGAUCAAGCGACGUUGAAGCUCUACUGAGUCUAAGAUAAUUCAUUGAUCCGUCCAACUUGAUUCCAUGGCAAGGAACAGAUCUCUGCAACUGGGAAGGUGUUAAAGAAUGCAUUAAUGGACAAACAGCCUCAAAGAUUGAUUGAGAAUUUUAACUUCACUGGUUUAUUGGAUAAAAGCCAAGAAAAUCUUCAGAGCGUGGAAUUACUCAAUUUGCACUUUCCCAUCUUUAUUUGCCAAUCUGAUUUGUAUAAUCUCUAUAUUUAAGACUUAUUCAAUCAUACAAUA